GACGAACGCUGGCGGCGUGCUUAACACAUGCAAGUCGAACGGAAAGGCCCUGCUUUUGUGGGGUGCUCGAGUGGCGAACGGGUGAGUAACACGUGAGUAACCUGCCCUUGACUUUGGGAUAACUUCAGGAAACUUGGGCUACUACCGGAUCGGAGCUCCUGCUGCAUGGUUGGGGUUGGAUCGUUUCGGCUGGUGGGGAUGGACUCGCGGCUUAUCAGCUUGUUGGUGGGGUAGUGGCUUACCGAGGCUUUGACGGGUAGCCGGCCUGUGAGGGUGACCGGCCACAAUGGGACUGAGAUACGGCCCAGACUGCUACGGGAGGCAGCAGGGGGGAAUAUUGCACAAUGGGCGGAAGCCUGAGACAGAGACGCCGCGUGCGGGAUGACGGCCUUCGGGUAGUAAACCGCUUUCGCCUGUGACGAAGCGUGAGUGACGGUAAUGGAUAAAGAAGCACCGGCUAACUACGUG
rnacentral:rRNA from 1 species